ensembl:lncRNA
AAUCGGAUGAAAGCUACAAUAGCCACUGUUUGUUUGCAGUUUUAUCUUUUUAUUUUUAAACAAGCGUGAAAUGGUUAAAAAGACGCAGAGUAGUUCGGAUGCACAGACGAAUUUGCAUUUCUUUAAAGAUCUAGAUCCUCGGUGUGUCUCAUUUUAUAAAUCGAACCGCACCGCUUAAAAAACUGGCUGGUAAUUGACUACAAAACACGAGGAUAAGCCACUGAUCACCAGAAGAUGCGUUAAUUGCUCCGUGCGGUUUGAUGCUUCGAGAGACACAUCUGUCUGCUGAGAUUUCAGGCCGUCUUGGGGAAGGUAAGAGUGAAGAAAAAGUUGAAGUCCACACAGCGGAUCGUGGCCGUUUUCUUUUUUUCAGAGGAUGAGCACAUGCACGGUCCAGUUUGGCUGUCUCCAUUAUAUUGCCAUUAAACAAAUGCAACUCGCAGUAAAAAAAAAAAAAAAACAGGCAAUCUUUGUGCAAUGUGGAGCAGAAAACAUGAGCAGACAACGUUCUUCCCUUUCUAGGCUUGCAACUCAUUUAAACGUAAUGCUGCAUGUUGAUAAGCAUCAGCAACAUACGGAGCGCUUGCUCGUUAAAUCACCUAUUAGAAGAUGACGCAGACGAUGUUCUUAAUAAAGACGUGCCUCAGAGCCGAGCGGGUUCGUUCUUUAGCUACUCUCGUAGCGUCCUCGUGUCACGCUUCAUGUGUUGCAGACAGGACGAUGUUUGGCUCUCCUCGUGGUCGAAGGGUUAAAAGCGAAGCCCUGGGCCAUCGUGGGACACUGCGACUUGGCAUUUAUGUUGAUGAGUCCUGAUCACAGACUCUAGUCAUUAAACUAAUAAG